rnacentral:rRNA from 1 species
GAUGAACGCUGGCGGCGUGCCUAAUACAUGCAAGUCGAGCGAACAGACGAGGAGCUUGCUCCUCUGACGUUGGCGGCGGACGGGUGAGUAACACGUGGAUAACCUACCUAUAAGACUGGGAUAACUUCGGGAAACCGGAGCUAAUACCGGAUAAUAUAUUGAACCGCAUGGUUCAAUAGUGAAAGACGGUUUUGCUGUCACUUAUAGAUGGAUCCGCGCCGCAUUAGCUAGUUGGUAAGGUAACGGCUUACCAAGGCAACGAUGCGUAGCCGACCUGAGAGGGUGAUCGGCCACACUGGAACUGAGACACGGUCCAGACUCCUACGGGAGGCAGCAGUAGGGAAUCUUCCGCAAUAGGCGAAAGCCUGACGGAGCAACGCCGCGUGAAUGAUGAAGGUCUUCGGAUCGUAAAACUCUGUUAUUAGGGAAGAACAAAUGUGUAAGUAACUAUGCACGUCUUGACGGUACCUAAUCAGAAAGCCACGGCUAACUACGUG